ACGAACGCUGGCGGCGUGCUUAACACAUGCAAGUCGAACGGAAAGGCCCUGCUUUUGUGGGGUGCUCGAGUGGCGAACGGGUGAGUAACACGUGAGUAACCUGCCCUUGACUUUGGGAUAACUUCAGGAAACUGGGGCUAAUACCGGAUAGGAGCUCCUGCUGCAUGGUGGGGGUUGGAAAGUUUCGGCGGUUGGGGAUGGACUCGCGGCUUAUCAGCUUGUUGGUGGGGUAGUGGCUUACCAAGGCUUUGACGGGUAGCCGGCCUGAGAGUGUGACCGGCCACAUUGGGACUGAGAUACGGCCCAGACUCCUACGGGAGGCAGCAGUGGGGAAUAUUGCACAAUGGGCGGAAGCCUGAUGCAGCAACGCCGCGUGCGGGAUGACGGCCUUCGGGUUGUAAACCGCUUUCGCCUGUGACGAAGCGUGAGUGACGGUAAUGGGUAAAGAAGCACCGGCUAACUACGUG
rnacentral:rRNA from 1 species